UACGUAGGGGGCAAGCGUUGUCCGGAAUCAUUGGGCGUAAAGAGCGUGUAGGCGGCCCGGUAAGUCCGCUGUGAAAGUCGGGGGCUCAACCCUCGAAUGCCGGUGGAUACUGUCGGGCUAGAGUGCGGAAGAGGCGAGUGGAAUUCCUGGUGUAGCGGUGAAAUGCGCAGAUAUCAGGAGGAACACCAAUUGCGAAGGCAGCUCGCUGGGACGUAACUGACGCUGGAGACGCGAAAGCGUGGGGAGCGAACAGG
rnacentral:rRNA from 1 species